UACGUAGGGGGCAAGCGUUGUCCGGAUUUAUUGGGCGUAAAGCGCGUGUAGGCGGCCACACAGGUCCGCUGUGAAAACUCGAGGCUCAACCUCGAGCUGUCAGUGGAAACCGUGUGGCUAGAGUCCGGAAGAGGAGACUGGAAUUCCCGGUGUAGCGGUGGAAUGCGCAGAUAUCAGGAGGAACACCGAUGGCGAAGGCAGAUCUCUGGGCCGUAACUGACGCUGAGGAGCGAAAGCAUGGGGAGCGAACAGG
rnacentral:rRNA from 1 species